GACGAACGCUGGCGGCGUGCUUAACACAUGCAAGUCGAACGGUAAGGCUCCAGCUUGCUGGGGUACACGAGUGGCGAACGGGUGAGUAACACGUGGGUGACCUGCCCUGCACUUCGGGAUAAGCCUGGGAAACUGGGUCUAAUACCGGAUAGGACCAUGGUGUGGAUACUGUGGUGGAAAGUUUUUUCGGUGUGGGAUGGGCCCGCGGCCUAUCAGCUUGUUGGUGGGGUAAUGGCCUACCAAGGCGGCGACGGGUAGCCGGCCUGAGAGGGUGGACGGCCACAUUGGGACUGAGACACGGCCCAGACUCCUACGGGAGGCAGCAGUGGGGAAUAUUGCACAAUGGGCGGAAGCCUGAUGCAGCGACGCCGCGUGGGGGAUGACGGCCUUCGGGUUGUAAACUCCUUUCCCCAUCGACGAAGGGUUUCUGACGGUAGAUGGAGAAGAAGCACCGGCUAACUACGUG
rnacentral:rRNA from 1 species